rnacentral:rRNA from 1 species
UACGAAGGGUGCAAACGUUGCUCGGAAUUAUUGGGCGUAAAGCGCACGUAGGCGGCAUUGCAAGUCGGAUGUGAAAUCCCUCGGCUUAACCAAGGAAGUGCAUCCGAAACUGCUGUGCUUGAGUACUUAAGAGGAUCGCGGAAUUCCCGGUGUAGAGGUGAAAUUCGUAGAUAUCAGGAGGAACACCGGUGGCGAAGGCGGGUCUCUGGGCAGUAACUGACGCUGAGGAGCGAAAGCGUGGGGAGCGAACAGG